UUCUCGUACGGUCAUCAAAGUUAAGUAACGUCGAGCUUGGUCAGUACUAAGAUGGGUGACCGCUUGGGAAUACCAGGUGCUGUAA